rnacentral:rRNA from 1 species
GAACCGUCCAAACGUUAUUCGGAAUCACUGGGCUUAAAGGGUGCGUAGGCGGCUUGGCAAGUUGGGUGUGAAAUCCCUCGGCUCAACCGAGGAAUUGCGCUCAAAACUGCCUCGCUAGAGGGAGAUAGAGGUGAGCGGAACUUAUGGUGGAGCGGUGAAAUGCGUUGAUAUCAUAAGGAACACCUGUGGCGAAAGCGGCUCACUGGAUCUUUUCUGACGCUGAGGCACGAAAGCUAGGGGUAGCGAACGGGAUUAGAUACCCCGGUAGUCCUAGCUGUAAACGAUGAGCACUGGGUUGGAGAGUCCUCCAUAGCUUUCCGGCCGAAGCGAAAGUGUUAAGUGCUCCGCCUGGGAGUAUGGUCGCAAGGCUG